UCCGACUUAGCUCAGCGGUAGAGCAAUCGGCUGUUAACCGAUCGGUCGUCUGUUCGAAUCAGACAGUCGGAGCCA
rnacentral:tRNA from 1 species